GUACACUCCUACGGGAGGCAGCAGUGGGGAAUAUUGCACAAUGGGCGCAAGCCUGAUGCAGCGACGCCGCGUGGGGGAUGAAGGCCUUCGGGUUGUAAACUCCUUUCGCUAGGGACGAAGCUUUUUUGUGACGGUACCUAGAUAAGAAGCACCGGCUAACUACGUGCCAGCAGCCGCGGUAAUACGUAGGGUGCGAGCGUUGUCCGGAAUUACUGGGCGUAAAGGGCUCGUAGGUGGUUUGUCGCGUCGUCUGUGAAAUUCUGGGGCUUAACUCCGGGCGUGCAGGCGAUACGGGCAUAACUUGAGUGCUGUAGGGGUAACUGGAAUUCCUGGUGUAGCGGUGAAAUGCGCAGAUAUCAGGAGGAACACCGAUGGCGAAGGCAGGUUACUGGGCAGUUACUGACGCUGAGGAGCGAAAGCAUGGGUAGCGAACAGGAUUAGAAACCCUGGUAGUCCCAU
rnacentral:rRNA from 1 species